CUUUAAAAAAAUGAGUGGAAUUAAAAAAUAAUACAUGUUUUAAAAGUUUUGAAAUUGAAUUAAAUAGUGCUGUUUGGACCCGCGGAGGGGGCAGGAGAGGUGGGGGGGAGUGACGCAGCCGUUAAAAAUCAUCUCGCCGCAGUCCCGGCUUUAGCAGACAUUUUAACAUUUUGUGUCGUUUAUUUCUGAUAUUUUCCCCCCCUCGAGUUCGGCGGCUCCAAACCGAGCAGCGUGACGGUGCAGUGUGCCGACUGCACUCCAGGGCUGGUUGUGUAACCGUUUCACCUCGGCUGAACCCAUCUGGUUUCGACGGCGGCGGCAGGCUGCAGCUUGCGUGUCCCCGAUGAACUGAGACAGAUGGCCGGCGGAGGAGUCGCGGAGACCCGGGGUAGCGCAGCAGCAGCUCUCCGCUGCCCACCGGAAAACCUCGCUCGGGAGAGACAACAGAGUUCAUCUCCUCUCCUAAAAAAGAAAAAAAAAUCGCUUUUUAUUUAUUUAUUUUUUAAAAAACGGUCUUUCCUCCUCGGGUUGGGUGAAAUAGCAGCCGCUGUAGGAAAGAGGAAGCCCGCGGACUGGGACGCCACGACGGAAGAACUUCAACUUGAACUUGAGACUCUCCGAUGAUGAUCUGGACGCUGCGUAGAGGCUCUGGAAAGCAGUUUCCAAUGCGGGGACAGAGCCAAGAAAAGUACAAAGGAAGGCUAAUUAUUUGGGAAUGACUUCACUUUUCCUGCUCAGACGUCAACAUUAAGUUCCCGCAGGUCAAAGGUCGUAUGUGCAGCAGAUAAACUGUCCUUUGGGGUGAGGUAGUAGGUUGUAUAGUUUUAGGGUCAUUCCCAAGCUGUCAGAUGACUAUACAACUUACUGUCUUUCCUGAAGAGACAGUGAAGGCAACAUCAUCAUCAUCGGCUCCACUAAAAGAAGAAGUGACUCCAUGUUUUUAGUUUUAAUGUCUGGCAGUGAAAUAAUUAAUGGGAAUAUAAUUUUCUGCAUGUUAUCCAGUAAAUAAUCAUCACCGUUUGUUGAUAAAUGACCGUUUGAAGAUGUGCUUGAGACCCUACGUCUUCUGUGGUGACUCAUGGUGUUCGUACAGGGUGAGGUAGUAGGUUGUGUGGUUUCAGGGUUGUGAUUUUACCCCAUCAGGAGCUAACUAUACAACCUACUGCCUUCCCUGGAGGGCAGCAAUACGUCACAGGAGCAAACGACCUCAUUUUGCACAGGAGAAACCCGGACAGCUUCUUAUAAAAACACUGACAAGUGGCUGGUUUUACUAAAUGGGUAGGCUCUGCAUUGUUGUUGUUGUUUUUUUAAAUAUUUUUUUUAGCAAUUUUUUACUAUAAAAAUACAAGAUAAGGAUGUAAUUGUGUCUAUUUGUGUUUUUAUUCUAAAAGAAAAUAAAGACUGAAAAUUUCAAACA